AUGUUACACAUUAUUAUUAAAUUAUUCUCAAGCAAUUCUUUACACCAUUCACUUAGGCAACAAAUAUGACGCAGACCGCAUGUCCUACCCUGGGUUGAGGACAGAGGUGAGGCCCCUUGGCUCUUCCCUCAAGGACAUUGUAAGACUUAUGGAGGAGGCCAAAGACUAAUCCAAUGGGAUGUGUGCCACCACAGGGGACCUGGGUGGCACGUGGAGUGUGGGGUCACCCUGGCCGCUGCAUGCUCAGUUCUAGCUGUACCUCCUCGACGCAGCCACCACGCGGAUGAAGUUGGCGGGGCCUGGUGUUUCAGGCCCGUGGAGCCCAGAUCUGGCCAAGUGGAACUUUCCCUUUAACUUUGCCCUUUCCCUUUGCCAAUCUCUCUUCACACAGUGGCCCCUCUGCCCAGAAUGCACUUCUUCCCUCACUUCUUUUCUUCAUGUUGGAAUCCUGGACCUCUUUGGGACUGGAAAUCUGGGAUAUUUUGUAGGUACAUGCAAAGUAAGAGCUCUAGCACUGAGCUGCACCCCAGUCCUGUAGCUGCUUCCCUGUAAGUCUCCCUGCGUCUCACUUUAUCCAGUAAGUGGGGGCAACAGAAGCACAGCACUGUGGAGAGAGCAAAGUAAAGCUCGCAGAAUCCUGGGACAUGGUGGUGGACAGUGAAACGGUGCUCCGAGAACCGGUAGCUAAUCAGAGAGUUUGCAGCACCACACACCUAGUACUUUACUUAGUGAAUAUGUGAGUGCUUGCUGGGCCAAGUUCCGGCUAGAUACCAACGGUGGCCUCUGCUGUAGGAAAACCUGUAAUAUUUGCCUCUUUACAAGCAAGCCAGUGCCUCACCCUCUCUAACCCUGGUAUGGGACAGCCCUGAGUCCCUUCUGGGGUGGUAGCUGAUUCAAGUUCAACCUUCUCAAGGUCAACCCAAGCGCCCUUAUAAUCCUGAAGAGAAACCAGUCGGAUUGCACAAUGGCUGGGGUCUGCUGCCCCCUGGUGUCAGUGUGAUCUCUUUGGAACAUUUCCUGGUUACCAGCCAGGCUGAGAAAUGACAAAAAGUCCUAGAGGUCCUCCCACAUGCCAAUGGACCUUGAACAAAUCCACACUUCAUUUGUGAGGCAUGUUCCCAGCUGACCACACGGCUGCCUCUUCUGCCUGAUGCUCCACCAUCGGUCCCACUUUUUACUUGCCUUCUUGGGUUCCCUAAGGUGGUCCCAGACCUCAUGCCAGUCCUGCAUCCUAGUGGACAUCUGGGGUUAGGAGUAGGAUUGGAUAGGGCUGAGCUGAGUCACACGGUGCAAGUCAACUACAACCACAGCCAGAUGCCUUCCACAUCAGCGCUGGGACAGCAGCCCUGUCUGAUCUCAGUAGGGUGAGUCCCACUCCCCUAGCAUGGCAGACAGGGCCCGGCACCCGUUCCUUCCCUUUCCUGGAGGCCAGCCUCAAGUCAUUGUCGGACCAUAUCUAUUCUCACCCAGGACAUUACACCAUGUUCCUAGCCUCCAAUUUCCUUCUGCCUAGCUCAGCCUGGCCAUGUUUCUAAAGAGAGUGUAACUCUGCACCCCCAAAUUAAACCCUUUCCUCUGGGACCCUCACCUGCCACCCAGUCCCCAGGCACAAGCCCCUAAGACUCACCCUCCCAAGGACUCCCCUGCCUGUUGAGCAGACUGGAUCCUUUACAUGGGAACCAAUCUUCACCAACCUAGAGGAAGGGAUGCCCUUUUAGAAAUGUGUCCAAGACCGAUGCCUCUUUCCACUCUGCACAAAGCGGCCACAGAGGCAGGCGGAUACUCCAGUGCAUUGCUCCCAUUGUCUUCUGGGUGCUUAUGGCAUGGAGGGUUCAUUUUCCUAUAUCAGGCCCAGCAUCUACCUCAGGCUGGACCUAGUUUACUUGUGUACUGCACAAUACACCAGGAGCGGGGAGCACCUCGUACAACCAAAGCCGGUGGUGACUUCCCACAGACAGCUCCUCCCCCACGUGGCUCUGGUCUCCUUACGUCAUUCCCUCUCUGAGGCAGGGAGGGCAGCCCUUGCCGCACCCUACCUUGUUUGCCUGGGACUCAACUGGGUGGCACAGUGCACUGACUAUUAAAGAGCCACCUGACCUCAGGAGUUCCUCCUGUUUCUGGCUCGAGUGAGAGGGACCUUAGAUUACAAAGUGGAUUAUGAGGUAGCAUGAAGUCUCAGGUGUGCUCACUCACCUGCAGCUCUUGGCCAAGAGUGUCCUCUGCCCCCCAGAGAAGGGCUGGGGUCGAAGCAGAGUCCCGGGAGUGCAGACACCUGACCUAGGAAUGCCCCUUGUACCUGCGGCAUUCUGUCCACUGACAGCCAUUCUCUAGCCUCAGCCUCUUACUCUGCAUUGACAAAUUUAGUGUCUGAGAAAGCAGCUACCAGCUACACCAGGAGUCAUCCUGCUCGACAACUGUAGAGUCUGUCUGCAGGAACAUCGCCCUGUUUCCUACUCAAGGAUGCACCUGGCCACACUGUGAAAUGUUCCACGGGGGAGCAGGGCAGAAGGCCAGUUUGAGUCAGUUACAGCUGAACCCCAACUGCAGACCUGAUCCUGCACAGUGAGACUUUUCCCGACAGUCCCCAGAUGCUUCCUUAUAGCCAGAGAAGACCCAGGUUUUGGACUCAUGAUUGGGAGCUCCUGGGGGCAGUGCAGAGGGGUCCUGGUACUAGGAGGGGUUCUGAGGCCACCCACCCCUCAGGCAAUAAAUGGUGACUCUGUCACCACCACCAUUAUCAUUUCGAUUACGCCUAGUCCUGUCCUUGUCUUGGGUUCACUGUGCCUCAGGACUAGAGUGGCCCUGCACAGCCUGUUACCAGACACUGGCAGACGGAAGAAGCUUAGGGAGCUGAGGGGAUUAGAGAGGGCUCACUCACUCCCUCAGCUUGGGGCAGGCAUCCCAUGGCCUAACUCAGGCCAGUGGUGGGGGCAGGGGAGGUCAUUAUUCAGCCCAUCAACCCUCUGGGUUCAGGCCUAACAUACCCGAGCAUGUGCCAUUGGUUGAUCAGUUAAAACCUCACCAGUCAAAUUCCAGUCUGCCAGAUAUGUGUGCCACACAGCAAGGCAACUAUCUCCUGACUCUCAACAAAAAAGGGACAGUAGCCAGGUGUGGUGACACAUGCCUGUAAUCCCAGCACUCAGGAAGCUGAGGCAGGAGGAUCAUUGUGAGUUGGAGACCAGUCUGGGCUACAAAGUGAACUCAAGGACAGCCUAAACUGCAUAGUGCGACUCUAUCUCAAAAAGACAAAAAGAAAAAAAAAAAAGGAGAGAGAUACCACCAACCUCCUGGGAUUGCUGUGAAUGUUAAAUAACAGAUGCAAAAUACUGUAACAAGGUCUCAAAAGGGUCAACUUCUUUCCCUUCCUUUGCUCAGAAACGACUUUAUUAUCACAUCUGACAGUGCUGUUCGAACUUGAAAUAACUACUAACAUUCCCAGAGCAUUUGCUCUUGGGCUAGGUCAGGUUUAGGGCCACUUUAAGGGUCAUGCAUUUCACAUGAAUGAUCAGACUGGAUCCACACAAGGGGUUGAAAAUGGGGUUGCAGAGACCCCCAUAGGUACACUGGGAAGGCUCCAGGGACCUGGUAGGUGGGUGGGCCUGGGCAGACACUCCCUGCCUCCUGCCCUGAGUGGGUGCACCUGGAGUUGGGGAGAGCUCUGGGCAUGGGACCAGCCUCCUAAGGAGGUGCCAGGAUGAGAACUGAGUCCUAAGGUGUUGAUAGGGGCCGGGAUUCCUAGGGACACAGCCCUGGGCAGAGUAGAGGGGCGAACUCACUCUACAGAAAUAUCAUACUACUAUGGCUGAAGGGCGCCCAGAGAGAAGUCAGGAGGAGGCCCCUGGCCAGGAUCAGCAGCCCAUACCAGGGAUCGAACUCACGACUGCCUGCCACUGAGCUAUAUCUCCAGCCCCUCAAGAUCACCUUCUGAAGCUCUGGCUUUCCUCAAACUACCCAGGCCCGCCGAGCCUCCAGCACCGAGGACAGCGCUCCGGCAGCUAAUCCUCCUAGGCCAGUGGCAGUGGACCAACUGGGGACCUGCUGAUACUCAGAAGAAAACCCGCAGGGAACCAGACGCUGGGCAGGAGGAAUGUAACCCCCAGGUCAGACCAGCCUAAGGAGGUCAAUUAAAGAUCUGAAGGGCUCUUGACAUUUCCCAGACCAUGGAAAGACACAAACGAAGCCCUUGGAAGUUGCCCUGCAUCCACUGGGCUGGAAGUUAGCACCGGUCCAGCCAGUGGCAUCUCUGUCUGCAGAGGGGACCCUGUGCAUGCGUCCCCCACUCACAUGAGACCAGAUUUGACAUGAACUGCACCAAAUUUCAAGCCUUUGAAAAUGACACAGGUUGGAAAAGAAUGCAGAUGAAUUCUAUGCCAUCUGUAAAGGGCGAACAUCUUCUAAGGUACAGAAAAGAAGGCAGAAACUACGCUCCUCCAGAAACAAUAGCAGGUCCUCCUCCCAGCCAUGCCGCAGGAUACCGACCCCGUGAGAGGAGCAAGGACCAGCGUCCUGCAAGCCCCCAUCACUUUCCUAUUUACCCAGAAUCCCAGUUCUCUCCGACUCCAGGGACCCUGAGAAUAUAGGCUGGGCCACUGUCCCAAAGCACUGGGGAAGGACAGGAGAUCUUUAAUCAUCAUGGCUUUCCUUGAAAGGACAGAAAAACAGUUUUAAGAUCUGUCUUCAAGUGCUGACAAAAGCUUUGGGGUUUUAUAGAAAAGGGGAACAGAAGCAAGGGUUGGGGGUUUGUGUAGUAUAUGUGUGGGGGCGGGGAUUUGCAUAACUGAGAACUAAUUCGGGUCGAGUCUUGGUCUUGGUCACUAUCUCAGAACCUUCUAGGAGAACCCUCAUUGCCUGAGCCGGGCCCACCUGGGUGACUAAGCACAUCAAGGGGUCGUGUGCGAGGGUCGCUCUGCUCAUCCUGGAUCCGAAGGGACUGCAUGUCUAGGACAUGAUGGAAGACUUCUAGGCACUGCCCAGAGAGGCUAAAACCAUACAGUUAGAAAACUGGCGACUGAAUGUCCCUGCAAACUCUAAAAACCACUUGGGUUUCUCUUGUCUUGGUGUCCUUCGUCUUGAAGUGGAUGAAAGAGGCUAAGUAAAUCUAGGGCUAACAAACCUCGUAUGGCUGUGUUUUGGACAGUUUCCUUAAUUAACACACCUACGGGCAGAGCUGAGCAGGGGUUUCGUUACCAGGUGGGUCCCGGUGGGGCUCUUUGCAGGUUCUUGGUGUUCUGAAAGAACACCCAGAAAAGGUAGCGGGGUGUGUUAUCUAUUGUCAACAGAGUGAGAGUGGCAGGUGAGCAGGCUCACAGCAGCCCUGGGCACAGGGGAAAGGAGUCUUUCUGCAUUCAAAGUUCCUGGUUUUUGGUUUUGUUUUUGUAACAGGAAUGAAAUUCACAACACUGUGCCUGCCAGGCAGGUGCUUAUACCUGCUGAGCUAUAUCCCCACCUCCUCAAAGUUCCCGAAUCAGCUUCUAUUCACUCAAAUAAGUCAUCCAGUUGGGACAGCUGUCUUGUAUGUCCUGUCAGAAACUCACUUGAGCAGAUUUGAAUUGCCCUGUCGAAGGCUCACUUGCCUUUGAGUAAGAUGUAAAUGACAAAUUCAAAAUAGGGCGGGUUGGUUCCAUGUGCAAUGCUAAGGACUGCAGACUCGGUCUGGAGAUGCUUUUCUGUGACUGUCCCUGGGUUCCCAUGAUUUGACACAUUUCACCCAGUUGUUCGACUGCUUUGCCCCAGUCCUCGUCUCCUACCCAGUCUGACCCCAUGUUUUAAGGUAAUAAAGGAGACGAGUAUUAAACAAAGGCAGAUGCAUCGCACUUUGUCCUGCUGCUAGCUACCCCUUGGGCAUCUGGAGGCCCAGCUUCUAAGUUGGGUCAAAUGAUUUUCCACACCAAAAUCAGGGUGGAGAUGAGAAGAACAUGUAAGGUGUGGGAGGGCCUGACAUCCUGCAAAUCCUCUGUGGAGGACUCUUUGGCAAGGUAUGGCACAGUGCUCAAAAAAUCCUUACCUUUGAUAAGCCCCAGUGAGCUUGUUAAGGACUUAACACAAAAAGAGAGUUAGGAUUUUUUUUUUCAUAUGAAUUUCCAUUAAAGUAUUACUGACAGUA